GAAUGUGAGAGCCCAGUUCAUUAACCGGCCCGCAUACAGCUAGACCAGUGGGCCAGGCCUAUUGGCCGUUGCGGCCUCUAACUCUUCGGGGGCUAUAAAAGCUUCGAACGUCCUUCCUCAGCGAUAGGGUUUUCUGAACCCACGUUGAUGCCGCCGGAGAGGGGCGUCGCAGUUCAUCCCCGAAGCCAGGUACAGUGGAGUUGCCCAACUGUACUUAGGGAUUCGUGAGCGAAUCAAUAUGAAUAAGACUACUAGGAGCAGGGAGCUUGGUGUUAUUCAGGGUUGGGGUAACUGAAAAUGUUAUAUAAUAAUCAAAUUUUAGAAGCUCUGUACUGUUCCAACUUCAUGAAUAAUGUUAUAACAUUAGUAGAUGAAACUAUUUAUUUUUGGUU